UUCUUCUUAAUGAAGGAUUUGCAGAUACAUCUUAAAUUGUUAAAUUUAUUCUAAUUAUUCUCUCUUUCAGUGUUGUCACCUCAAAGCAGUUUUGAAGUCGCCUCCACUUGGGCCCUGGUCUCCAACUCAUAAUCAGUUACCAUUAUUGGCUUGGGGUGUCCAUACUUGGUGCUUUGGAUAAUUCAUAGAUUAGAACAUUGAAUCAUUAAAUCAGCUAAUAACAUUGCUCUAGUUUUUACUCAAAGACUUUCUAUUUACCCCCCCACCUUUUCUGCAUUGUUAAGCAGUUUUGCAGAAACCAUAGUUCUAUUAAGCAUCUGACACAACUUUAUUCAAACUUUUUUCACAUCAAAAGGUAGAAGUUAUUCCCCCUCCUCUUGACUCUUGUCUACCCUUGUUUUUUGCUUUGACUAAUGAAUGAGGCAAAAGUGAUUCUUUGCCAGUUCUGGACCUAGCCUUUAAGAGGACUGGAUGUAUUUUCUUUCUCCCUGUUGGAAAAUUAGGGAAGUCCAACUAUUCUGAGACCAUAAUUAUGGGAAAGAUCCCAAGCUAACCUCACGGAGAUCCAUUGCUAAGGAACACUUUCUACAUGAUUGAAGCCUUCUUGGAACUGAAUGCUGCCAAACUAGUGAUCCACGCAGGCAUCAUGUGGAAGAAUACAAGAGUCCAACUGUGUCCUGUCAAUGAGAAAAUUACCCAGCAUUCAUCCCCCAAGAGAUGCAGCAUGGGUGCAGUGACAAGAGAUCAACUUGAAAAAAGUGACCAGGUUUUCAUCUCACCAGACGCCAAGGCAGCUGGUGUCUCAGUAUUGGACUUCCAGCCUUCAGAACUGUGAGAAAUAAAUUUAUUUCUUUUUUUAUCAGAAAA
rnacentral:lncRNA from 10 species